AAUCUGACUUGCUGUUGAGAUGAGGUGCUCUAGAACAAGCAGAUGAAGAGGAUGCCUGACACAAAGUAGUAUUAUGGUGAUAUUUGGAUAUGAGCUUCUUUUCUAAGUGCACUGAAAUGUGCACUUGCAGCCCAGAAAGCCAACUGUAUCCUCAGCUGCAUCACAAGCAGUGUGACCAACAAACUGAGGGAGAUGAUUCUGCCCCUCUACUCCACCCUUGUGAGACCCCACCUGGAGUACUAAGUCCAACUCUGAGGUCUUCAUCAUAAGAAGGACCACGACCUGCUGGAGCCACAAAGAUGAUCAGAGGGAUGGAACACCUCUCCUAUGAAGUUCGGCUGAGGGAGCUGGGGUUGUUCAGCCUGGAGAAGAGAAGGAUCUGUUUGUUCCCACUGGGCAUCACUGAGAAGAGUCGGGGUCCAUCAUCUUUACACCCUCCCCUCAGAUGCAAAUGGCCUAGAAUACAAAUGGAUCCAUUGCUAAACAUUUCUUCAAGAUUGUUCUGAAGAUGUCC